rnacentral:lncRNA from 1 species
CCCGAGUUGCCACACAUUUUUCUCUCUCUUAUUUCAUUUUUUAAAAUAUUUUAUUUUCGCACGCCCUUUAUAAAUCUUAGCUGUUCUUCAAACAACUUUUAUGGACGCCAACAAUUUUUACGUGCAAGUGAUGUCUCCUCCUACUCACGGUCAAACGCACAAACACGCACGCAUACAAUUUUCGAGAAGAAAAAAAAAGGACAAAGUCGCACUGUAUACUUCCAACCCUUCUUCUCGUUCUGAAUAUACGUACCAAACACUUUCUAAGUUUCUACUGUCAGUCGUUUGGAAUUGUGGCACAUUGGCGGCCAUGAUCAUCAUUUUGGUUUAUUUCCUGGAAAUAGUUAUGACCAACCCAAUAAACAACAACACUUUUCAAGAAUAGUUCCCACAUCGACCAUUAACAUAAAAACCUAUGAAAAAGUUUGAAAUGGGUCGGGAUGGACUAUGUCAAAAGUCUUAUGGAUAACAAUUUCACGAUCCCUACUUUAAUCCGGAUGAAAAGAUUUGUACGUACUACUUAUACCUACGCCCAAAUACAAACAAAUUCACCAUCACCGCCACUAUUAUUACAUCCUUGUCCAUUCCCUUGUUAUUUUUAUAUUCUUCUUUUUUUUUUUUUGGCUAUCAAAAAUCCUUUGUUUGGCUUUUGUAGACAGGAGCGCCACCGCCACUUGAUCCGUCUCUUUCUCUCUCCAACUUUUCUUUAUAUAUACACACACAUACGAAACUAUUUUGUUCGCUCUCGCUCCCCCUCUCUCACUCACACAAAGAGAGAGCAGAUGAUCGAUAAUUUAGCCCGAGAAAAGGCGCGUAUAACACACAAGAGAGAGAGAGGGAGCAGGGCCAAUGUCACGCUGCCGACACACCAAAUAGAAGAGAGAAAUUUGUGUAAUGAUAAAGAGAGCCGAGUCUUUAAACAAAUAAAAAAUUGUUUUAACAGAAAAAAGAUCCACUUUUUUUUUGCAAUCAACUUAAUAAGAAAGAAAAAAAAACCUUGACCCGUUUACGUGACGUCAUUCGGCCACAUUUAAACCUCCCCCAAACACACACAAAAUAAACAGCAAACCGAAGAAAAGGAAGAGUCACGUGUUGUGUACGGAAUUUGGAAUGAAUCACUACAAUAAUACGACGCAUCGAAUAGUUCGGCUUAUUUCUGAUUGCUCAUCGUUUUAUUUUCAUAACCAACGUGUGUGGAUGUGAUUCAAAUGUGAGCCAACUCUAGCAGACGACACGUAUGUUGUCACAACGUUUUAUCGUCGUUCACUGCCAUUAGGCGGUGCCAUCUUGUCCGAUACCGGCGUCUAUAUCCAAGUGCAUCCGAGCGUUUUUCGAAAGAUCCAACCUUAACCAACAACUUGUCCAAACACCGACGCAGCGCCCUAACCAUAAAAAGACCGUCAUGGUCGCCACACGACCCUUCCACCUUUGUUUUCAUCUCUUUCAAGACAAAAUCUAUUUUCAACUCGUUUUGGCCACCAAUCGUGGGAUUUCUCAAUUUCUUUUAAAUGAACUUUGUAGGGAAAACGAUUCUUAAUAAAGUUCAUUUAAUACAAUUUGAGUUUUCCUAUGUUAUUGGCGAGAAAAAGCGAAAAAAAAACUUCAACCAUUUUCCCGCUUUUUCUUGGCGCUUCCAAUUCUUGGCGAAGGAAACGCACACAGACCAACAUGCUGUACCGUUGCUUUUAUGGUCUUGUGACCUUGCCCCUAUCGCGCGCAAGCCCGUGUCGUGGUAUUUUUGUAGGCCACACAGCAGCAGUUUGCCUGCAGUAGCCCAGUUGUGGAGGGGGUGGCCUGCGGCGGCCAUAUUGCCUACAUUUUCGUACAGCCAGAAUUUUGAAAUUCAAUAGACGGUAGAAAGAAAAAAUUACAAAAAGAGACAAGAUACAAAAGAACUCCCCGCCCCCCCUCCCAAACUUAUAGUUAUAUCCUGUCUAAAACAAACCAUUUCAAUCGGAAAUCUGACUAUCUUGCAAUAAGGAGGUAUAUGCCUUAUCCUUUUACUCGAGACGUCGCCACGGCGACGACGGCAUGAUUUCCAGAAACGUUACACACGAGCCUCUCUCUCUGUGCCGUCUUUUUAAACUGGAUAAGCAACAACCACCACAGUCCAGAAGAAAUCAAUCAAUAUGUGUAUGCGUAGUAGUAGACAACACAGAUAUUCGACUACUUCACGAACGACAUGAAAGACAGGGGGAGAAAAAAGUGGGUCCCGCAACUCGAUCGUGUGCUUUCAUGAGUUUUGUGUCCCUCAUUUUUGUUGCCCAGCCAGAAUAUUUAUACAAGAGAACCCACCCGUUGAUAUGCGCCAUGCCGGCGGUCCUCUUUCUAAAUGUUGACUAUCUAUCGGAAAACCAAAAAAAAAAACCAAAAAACUUUCACAUUCAUUUUCUAGCUUCGGGCAUUAAGCUGGCGAGAGUUUUGUGGGAUUAUUUUUAGGUAUUGUAUACGUAAGUCUGAUGACCUAGCGCAAAACGAAUUCGCUCCCUAUUCAACGAGGGUUGUCUUUCACUUGUUUCUCAGUUCAAAGAAAGAAAAGAAAACUUUUACUUUCAAUGGCGGUUUAUGUACACCUUUAGAUCCAAAACAUUUAUUUUGGGUUUUUCGUAAAAUAAAGAGAAAGGAAAGAUCCAAAGAUGGCCGUCUUUUUUUUUUUUUUAGAAAACGACCAAAAAUGGGGUGCGAACGUACACAGGGAAGAAGAAAAAAGGGACUUUUUUCGUCUUUUGGCGCCAUGCCCGUCCAGUUUGCUAGACGCCACCACACGAUUUAAAAAAGAAACAAAAAUGGUGGAGAAAGGAAAAAUGGCCAGGAGGCAGGAUACACGAAGACAGUAAAGAGAGAGCCCUGGAUUAGACCGGGAAAUUGCCAAGGGAUCUGACUUCUACUAGCUUAUGUAGGGAAGGAACGGAGGAUGGGCGGAUCUAACAAAAUGGCCACUUGUCAUACAAUCAAAAUACUCGGAAAACCUUCGUUGAUCAAUUAGAAUUCGAAUCGGCUAACUUUUUAUUUUUCCAAAAAAAAAGGAAUCAAUUUCCAAGGAAUGUGGAAAGAUCAACAAAAGAGUUACGAUGUUCAUUUGUUUUGAUCGUUUCAAGAAAAAUAAAAAAAUAGUUUACCUGCGACGAAGGGAAAAAACUUGUGCCAUAGCCAAUUGACCUUGUGCCUUUGUCCGUGAUGUCACACACACACACACACACACACAGGGAUCCUUAUUUCUUUUCUCCUUCAUUCGUCGCCACGUCCUUUAUGUGGCACUGUUCAUCCGUUUCCUGUUUCACCGUCCUUUUCGUCUCUUGGUUUUCUCAGCAUCUCAUUAAAAAACUGGGAGCUCGAGAGAGAAAAGCGUUUUUAUUUGGGGCGCCCCCGCCACGUUUCUGUGUGUGUGUAUACAGGGUUGUGACGUCACGCUUUGCCCAAAGGCUUCUUACCACCCACCGAUCGUUCAAUCUGGGCGCUAAAAACUGUCGAUACGCAUUUCCCCCUUCACCACCCCCACGCAUUUCGAUAGUAGAGCAAACACGCUGCACACAGAAGAAAAAUGGCGGUACAGCCCUGGAGGCUGUAUGACACGGUCGAAAUACCAAGUGGGUUUUUAAAAAAUUACAUUAUUUUGACCGCACAAUACCUCUAUGAUAAACGCAAGAAACAAAACAAACGAUUUGAAAAAUUAUUGUACGCCAAAACUAGGAAGACCGAAAAUAGCCAUUUUAUUUUAUAUUUUUUAACUGUGUGUGUGUGGUUCACGUGGAAAAGCGGUGCAAACAAUGAAAUCUCGUAAACAUAAAAAUCUGCCGGCCUUUUCUAGGACGGACAAGGAAAAGAAGAAAAUCAGGCAACUAAUUGGUGAAAAACGGACAUUUUUCGACGGUUUAACUCCACGUUUUUUUUUUUUAAUGAGACCAAGUUUGAAUGAAAUUUGGAUUGAUUUGAUGGGAUGAUAUGAUCAAAAAGUUUCGGCUCCAUCUCUUGGGAGAUGAGAAACAAAAAGAGAGGGAAAAGUGCAUCCGAUAAACAAAAGAAGAACGUCGAACCCGAAAAAGUUUUGAGCAGUGGGGUCUGUGUCUCUCAUCAAAUUAAGUUUCAUCCGACGAAACAAACACACAAGUUUUGUGUUUCAAACUGUAGAUUCAAUGAAUUUCUUCAACUUCGUUUCUUGUUGAACUAAAUAUGUCACACAAAAAAAAAGUUCGUUUUUUUUUUUACUUGAAAUGGAAAUGAAUAAAGGAAUGUGAAACAAAACAAAAUGUCGGUGAAAAAGAAAGCGGACAGCCCAUCGAAGAAAAUUCGAAGGUUGCUAUGGUAACACUGGUUCAAAGCUAAAGUGAUAAGCUAUGCGUGUAGUGUUUCCUCAGAAUGAAGGCGAAACAGAAAAAAACCCAAAGAGAAGAGAACACACACAUAAAGAAACGUUUAUGUUAAGACACCAUCGAUUUGCCAUGUGUUGCAGACUAGCAGACGAAAACCCACGCAGCAUCCGGUCCCUGGGCGCCCAUGUUUUUUUUUUGGAGGACCAAUUAGCACCUGAGCGGGAGAGUGAUGUUCGUCAAUCCAGGUUGACAUACAUUUUUUUUUUUCUUUUAGCGAUGAGUUAUCCUUUUUUAUUAUUAUUACAAGGGACGGAAACACAAGUAGGGGAAUGAAACAAAAAAUGUAACUGUUUAUAUAUAGGUCUGUGUAGAGUAGAUAGGGAAAUGGCGGCUGGUGACAUUGUAACCCAAUUUCUCUGAUGUAAAAAAUUAUAUUCGCCUAGAAGCGAUGCCCCCCCGCAGCGUAACAACGUUGUCGCAUUCAUCGACUCAUCGGUAGAUAACAUUUAAAUCCUAUUCAAGUUCAGACAUCCUUAUUUGAAAAGAUUAAAAUCUAUUAUCUUGACCAAGAUCAAAGUUCAGAAUUGGAUCCAAUCAAAUUACCAACAGUAACCAAGCAAUUCGAAAUAUUCUAAUUCGAUUUCAAAACGUCUCUCUUUCAAUGCUACAAUGAUCACCAGUUGCAAUGAAAAUUCUCGUCCUGAAAAAAAAGGGGCAACUACAUUCUUUUGUUUUGUUUUUUCUUUAAUGUUUUGUUGUUGGUCGCUCUCUCUCCGUAAAACUCGCCAAUACACUUGACACAGUUGCAGCGAGGACAGACGGUGGCGGCCGGUUACAUGCGCGGGCGGGUGGCCACUUUCAUCCGGUUUCCAGUUGUUGUUGUUGUACUACCUAUACGGGACAACCUAACCCAGUGGCUGCUUACAGUCAAACUCAAACAUCCAUUUUUGUUUUUUGCUAUUUGCACUCAAAAACUUGUCAACAGGAAAAAAAAAAAAGAAACAGUUAUUGGAUGAAAUUUUGUGUUGUUGUUGACACACACACACGAGGCAAUACUAUUUUGCUUUCGUGAAGGCCGACGAACGGCAACGUUGCCCGCGUGAAGCUAACAACAAGGUUAACCCGUUCUUAUUCGUGCGGUUUUCUGGGGUGGGAGGGGGGGCUGUAUAGC